rnacentral:lncRNA from 1 species
CCCAAUAUCAUACAUACAAACCAGACUUACAUACAACAAAAACGACAGAGCAGUUACAUAGGUAUAAGAAAAUGUGGCAUGAGCGCCAAUGAGACAACUCUUCAUCUAAUGACCACAUGACCAUAUGACGGAAGGUGUACUAGUUCUCGAAAAGAAGCUAGUUAGGUAGAUGUAGCUAGUGAGGAACAGAGGGAGUAGCUAGUGGGGAACAGAGGGAGUAGCUAUUUAGGAAGAUGUAGGUAGUGGGGAACAGAGGGAGUAGCUAGUGGGGAAGGAGUAGCUAGUUAGGAAGGAGAAGCUAGUUAGGAAGAUGUAGUUAGUGGGGAACAGAGGGAGUAGCUAGUGAGGAAGAUGUAGCUAGUGAGGCUUGAGUUUCAUUUUCCCAUUUUGAAGUUCAUGAAGGAAUUUGGAAAACAAUUACAGAACUUUUAUAAGAAAACUUUAAAUAAAGUUUUAGAAACUCGAUACAACUAGGAUAUUAUUUUACAUUUCUUUCCUGGAACAAUUUAUUUCCAUCCUGUAACAAACAUCCUCAAACCAAUGAAAAAUUAAGGUUAAAGCUACAGUUUAUUCUUAAAACAAAUUCCCGAAAUAUCUUGAUACUGAAGAACAGUUAUUUCCAUUUAAUAUUAAUGUCAAAACAAUAUUAUUGUUAAUUUUUUUUUUCUUUCCUGUAACGGAAUUGUCCUUCCUGUAACACAAUUGAUAAAAAAUGGAGAGAAAAACAAAGACAGGCUGAAAAAAUCUACCAGAGAAGAUGAUAUAAAAUACUCUAAAUAAUUCUUGAAGCUAUCAUUUGUAUUGGGAAGUCUGUAAAAAGUUCAUUUAGCAAAAAACACAUUUUAUUUCUCUCCUGUAACAAAUCAAUCCUUCCUGUAACAUUAUUUUCCGUCCUGUAACAUCACCAUUUUUUGGUGCCACAAAGUUGCAUUUGUAUUUCAUAUGAAAAAGAAGCACUGGGUAUGAAAAUUUAUAAACUAUGAAAUACU